rnacentral:rRNA from 1 species
GCAAGUAGAACGCUGAAGCUUGGUGCUUGCACAGAGCGGAUGAGUUGCGAACGGGUGAGUAACGCGUAGGUAACCUGCCUCUUAGCGGGGGAUAACUAUUGGAAACGAUAGCUAAUACCGCAUAAAAGUCGAUAUCGCAUGAUAUUGAUUUGAAAGGUGCAAUUGCAUCGCUAAGGGAUGGACCUGCGGUGUAUUAGCUAGUUGGUGAGGUAACGGCUUACCAAGGCGACGAUACAUAGCCGACCUGAGAGGGUGAUC